GUGCUUGUUUCAGCAGCACAUGUACUAAAAUUGGAACGAUGGGAGUGGAUUGGCAUGGCCCCGCACAAGGAUGCCAUACACAUUCGUAAAGGGUUCCAUAUUUCU